GCCAGCUACCCGCAGGUCCGUGCAGGUGCUCAGCCCUGCUGUGCGGCUGGUUUUGGGGUACUUAGCACGAGGCUGGCAGAUUUGGUUUAACGUGUGUUCACAGAGCUGUUCUGUUUUGGUUCUGUUGUAGGUCACCUUACUGCUUUCUACCUCAGAGAAAGUACGUCAAGUGAAAUACUGUCAGCACAUGAUGCAAAUCAGUCGGUUUUUGAUAUUUAGCAGUAUUCCAACACGCGUUCUGUGGUUUAAAGAAGGACUUAGAAGGUCCUCCUUGCUGGAAUGCCGGGGUGCUGCCCUUAGUGAUCUUCUGCUGCUCAGUUUAUUAAGCUGUUUUUACGCUUACACUCUCCACCCCUUUGCUUCAGAUAGUCACGGUUCCGUACCUGGAUCGUCUGCCAAAGAAAUGUUGGUGAAAGUGCCGUCCUCCUCAUCUACGGGCACGUUACAUAUGGUUGAAGCAUGUCAACAACUUGGCUUGGAAGGGCAUAUCCUAAAGACUCGCACAAUUACAUAAUUAUUUAUUAUAUACCUCUGCAUUUUGUCAAGUUGCAUGCCCACAGGACUAAGGGUGACUUGGUGCAAGUAACGUGAGGCAGAGCAGCUUUUUUCAUUGGAUGCUGGAAGUGACUAAGAAUCCUCAGUCUGCCCUUCUCUUCGAAUGCAAGCUUGCUCUCCUUCACUCCACUCAGUUGUAAUUCUGGAGGUGGUACUAAUUCAGCAACAGAGUUGGCUCAGGCUGAUCUCUGUUGGAAUGGAUGUUUCUCAGCUUUGUGAGAUGCUAAUCUCCUUGCAGUCAGGUAACCCAGCUGGCUGUGUUGUUCAAGAUACAAAUUUCCACCUACCUCUGAGGACCAGUUUGGAAGAUAAGUUACGCUAUCUCGGUUUCCUUUCACUGCUGAUAUUUUAAGCAUAAGAAUUUAGGAAUUUCACCUCAGCAUGAAGUUUCACAAAACAAGAAAGGUUAUAGAUGGAAAUAAAUGGGUGGUCGAUGUCCCAUUAGAACAGAUUAUUUACAAUAACUAUAUUGAAGCUGACCUCAUUGUGGCUUUAAAGAACAGGAGAUGUUUAAUAUCAACAGUUAGCUUUGGUAGAUGAUGGUGAUUUCUGCUUAUUUUUUUUCCUGAAUGAUGUUAAGCAGCUCUUCAUCACUGGGAGCAUCCUUUAAGUUAUGUGCCAUUAUUUACACUUAGAAAAUAAAAGUAAGAAGUAAAAAACUGACAUCUACAUUCUGUGGAAUCCGGCGCACAAAGAGAAAGCACCACAGAUGUUUCUGUAAAGGAGUCUGAGUGCUUGCUGAGGAUUAAAACUAUUGAAAUGAGCUGAAGUUUGUUGAUGUAGAAGAAAUAGGUUGAUUGGCAAUGAAGAAAAGUUACUAGUUUAAGUGUGGAAUUGUGGUUUGAUGGCAUUUGUGUACUCAAUAGGGAAGGAGCUUAUGGCAGACAAUAUAAUACAAGGCAAAGCAAAAGCUUCUUUUGGAGUGGUGAACUCUGCUUUGUCAGGUUCUAUGGAUCUUUUCUCACCUCUUCUUCCUGAGGCUUCUGUGUAGUUGUAUUCCUCUUCUUUCCUCAGGAAUAACAGGUGGAUGUGUAUGUAAUCUGUUGUCCUUCUGAUGAAACAAACAACUCUGUUUUCAAACCAAUUGUGCCUACAGGAGUUGUUGAAACAAGUAUAGCACAGGCAUUGUUUUAUUUCACUUACUUUUAUGCUUAAUGUCUACUCAAAUAUAUUCUCAUCAGACAAGUUACUUGUGCUUACAUAAGCAACAAAAGAAAACUUGUGUAUUAUUUACAAAGCAAGGGUGAUAACCUGGUAUUUUGACAACAGGCUUUUGUUUUAUUUGUCUGCCUGUGACUUUCACAUGAGCAGCGUGCUUCUAAAACACUUACUUGCAGAUGCCACUUUAAAUAUUAUUUUCCAAGAGUUUAUUUUUCUUAGAAAACAGAUGUCGGUAAUUAUGUUCUCUGACCUUCGAGACUUAUCAAAGUCAAAUAGGUAAUCAUCCAAUCAGACAAGCUAUCAUUAUCAGAAGAAAAGUAAUUAUAAUCUGAAUACGUUUGAACAUGAUUAUUCCAAGCCUUAAACAGUUACACUUCUGAUUGGGACAGAACUAAAGACAUUAUUGCUUCAUAAUUCACAUGAUGUAACUUCACUUAUCCUUGUGAUUUCGGAAUAUGAAGAGCUAAAUUUACAGAACAGCGUAGUGAAUAAAAUUAUGUAAUAUCCUCUCUAAAGGCAGAAGGAUUCUCAAAGUCUUUGUGCUGAAAUUAAGGAAACCUCUGUUUAAGAACAUGAACACUAAAACACAGUGCUAGAGAGAUCUCUAAGAGCAGAGGAGCGCAUCAUGUAUUUGUGUAUGAAAGUACACUCGGAAUAAAAUGUUUUACUACUCUGGGUCCAAUUUAACAAAACACUGAGAGUCUCUGUGGCCCUAGGCAUUUAUAUGAUCAGCUCUGCAUCUCCUGGGAUCAACCCCAAAGCUAGUCUAUCUCCUUCAGUGCGUAUCUUCUCCCACUUAGGGGACCGGCAGCUCAAGUAUGCUUUGCUGAGCACAGCUUGAAGGGCACAGUGCUUGGCUGAGGUCAGCGAGAUGAGGACCUCGCUGCUGCAGGAGUGGCUUCAACGUGGGCUCAUCUGGGGAUAGCUGAGGUCCUGUAGUGCAUCCAGCACCAUGCUGAGUGCUCAGCUGAGCUGCAACGGAAUGGUCUGAGACCUCCAUUUGGGAAUCAGAGUGUUUAUGCCCAGCAUAACAAAGACACGAGUUCUGUUACACUGCUGCUGCACAGAAUGGGUGUGUGAAGCAGAGGCUGGCUAAUUAAACAGUGGCAAAGAGGACACGAGCUUUUCAGAUCACUGGGGAAAUCUGUCAGAAUAAUCUAACUGCACUGUCGGCCAUUUCUGGAGUCUUGUACAUCCUUGAGAAAAGCUAUCAGCCUCAGAUUCUCUGUGGACCAUUGAAAAUCAAAUCAUUGUAAAUGAUGAGGAAAUAGAUUCUUUCUCAGCAGGAUAUGGCCUGUGGCAAUAUUAAUGUUUUUAGGCUUGGGCAAUACUUCAAGGUUCUGUAGAGACUUGAGCAGAGCCUUUUCAUACCUAGAAGAUGCCUUGGUGCUUAUUGUGCCUCUGGAAAGGAAUCAGUGCUCUCACAGGUGAUGUAGGGUAGCCUACCAGCCACCAAUCUGAAGUGACAGCAAAAGGAAGGGCUGGUACUCUGUCAGAGAGAAAGUGCCCUAUGCAUAACCAAUGAGCCAAGAAUUUGCUUUGGAUGAAAAGACUGGGGUGUGGGGCACUGAAGUUCUGCAGAACCAUCCAAGACUCCCAAAACUCGUAGAUCUGUAGAGUUGGUUGUUCUUUUUUUCCUUUUUUUUUUAAAGGACUUCAUUCCCAUUACAGAAGGUUUAUCGGUGAGCUUACCCAUAUUUCAAAGCCACUGCAGAAGCUGGAUGAAAAAAAGGAAACCAUUCUAGGAGCCAACAGCAUGAUUUAGCACUUUUCAGUACUGAAAAGGGAGUUUGUGGCUCCUUCAGCUCACAUAUGUUUCAGAGUCCUUUUGAUCUUGGACUCCAUUCCUACAGCUUUCGGGCUGACAUUGGACGCAAGUGAUGUUGCUCGAGGUCUGAACUCUCAGUGGAGAAAUUAAUUGCACUCUCUGAAGUUUACAGCAGUAUAUUUCCAGUGGUAGCUGUGUGAAGGAAAUUUUUUAGGCAGGAGAUAAAGUGUACCACUGUGGUGUGUUCUGUGGAUGCAGGAAUUCUCAGGACUCACUGUCACAUGGCUGGGAAAACUAGUACUGUCAUACAGCUGCUGUGCUUAACUCAGGGCAUAAGCAAAAUCGUGCUUACGGUGUCUGUAGAAAGCAUCGGGAGUGCUUUGUUAUCUUCUUGUGAAGAGCAGGGAAGUGGCUGUGAAGUGAAAUGUAGUUGCUGAUAAAUGUGUGGUUGUCUUAUUUCCUCCCUGCUUUGUAGGAAUGGAAAUAUCCUAGUCCCCUGAAAGGAAGAGCAUGGAGAUCGGAAUCGGUCUCUAGCGCAGUUAAAAGCUUCCUUGGUGCUAAAAUAGUGCGUAAUUUGCAAACUUCGUUUCUAGUAAUGAAUCAGAACAAAAUGUUCAUGUUCCAGCCUAGCCUCUCCACAGCAUGGGCAAAUGAGAAACACCCUCUCCUGAGCUGCUGAAAGAGAGCUGGGAGAGAAGGGGAAAAAAAAACUUUGGAGGUACUUGAACAAAAUGGAAAUCCAUUCAGGUUUGAUUCCUGAGAAUGUUCUGAUAAACAGGUAUAUGGUGUAGGUAUAUGUAUAUGUGGUAUAUGUGUUCUGCAAGUCAGCUGAUAAAUUGUUUAAUUCUGUCUUCAUGGGUUAAGUCAUCCUCAGAAGUGACAUUCUGGGACCUAGCCAGGGAGUGUGUCUGAAAUCCCAGCCAGACACUGAUAAAUCAUUGGGCAUGCCAAACCACGUCUUCCUCCGCCUUAUGGAACGGGUUCCUUUGAGCAGCAAGAGAACUGCAAUAAUAGGAGCUGUUACUCAUGGUCCUCAAGCAAAGGCCUGUGGAGAAACCAGCUCAGGAGAUAAGAGAUUUGUCUGUUUCUGACUUUGAUGUCAAGUCUAAGGCACUGAGUGACAAAUGUGAGUGACUGGAUUUCAGAAGCUGCAAGUGAGAAAACCAAUGAAGUGUGCGUUAUCUGUGAAAGGCAAGGGAGACAGCUUGUUAGAGUACAGGUCUGGUUAAAAGUCAGGCUAGGAUUUCUGAAAUAGGAGACUGUUGUUCUGUUUUGUUUCCUGUGUUUGUUUAUAAUAUGAUCCUAAUACAUUUGGAGAAUCACAGCUUUGUUUGUUGUGACGUUUAUUGCAGAGAAAUCUGUCUGCAAGUACAGAUAGAUAUCCAGCUUGGAUCAUCCUGUUGCUCUGACGGUGGCCUUAUGAAGCACUUUAUUGCCCUUUGGUCCUUCACAAAGUUUUAGUGAACCAGCCUCUUCUGCUUUAUUCUGAAUUUGAGUAAUCUCGAUGUUGUUCUCCUAGCACCACCACUUAAGAGCAGCCUGGUAUAAGCUUGGAGAGCGAGAUCUCACCUGGAUUUAUCCCAGGAUUGCUAAAAGCUUCAGUCGAUAAAGUUUGGCUGUUCCUCCUAACUUCUUUCCCAUCUACGUAUCUGUUCACUUUAAAGACAGUCCGUAAUAUUCUUGGGUGAAGUCCAACUCUCCCUGGACUUUCCAUUCUUCACAAAUAGCUGAAACCCAUGUUAACAAUUUAUUAUAUGAAGAACUUCCCACGCGGUGUCGAUUCCCUGGCCACCUGACUCCUUCAUCAGGGCAGAAAGUCAAAACCAGAUGGAACAUCUCCUUUCCAAAACAUCUUCAUAAAUUCUUGCAUGAUCGUUACAGAGUAUGAGCUAAUACUUUGUAUUUCACAAUUGGACUGACCUUCAGCAAUUAAAGCAAUGCUGUGUCAAGGAUGACAACUUCUUUUUAUCAACUUCUUUGAUUAUUUCAAAGUUCUGGUUUAUCAACUCAAGAUCUUUUGACAUGGAGGAUGAUAACGUUCUGUAUCUCUCUUUUGUUUGUUUGUUUGUUUACAAGCUCAAUACUUGUCCCUGCCAAUUGUGUAUUUUAAAUCUGCUUCACGUGUAAUUUCUUCCCAUUCCUCUCACUUCUUAUUAAAUUAAAUCACACAUACUCCUGCCCACAGACUCACUGAAGUCUGCUCUUUUCAUUACUGCUCCUCACACCAUACCCUUAAACUUAGGUGUCUGAGCUAACCGUCACCUUUUAGGACACGUCAGUCUUUUCUUUCCCUUUGAUGUCGUUGUCCUGCAUUGAAGCUGCUUACCAAGGAGGCGGAGUUUUUUUAAUGGAAAGAUACUUUCAACUAGCCUGAAAGAUUGUUUGUUUUUGUUUUUGUUUUUUUUUUUGUCAUCUUUGCUGUUCCUUCUUGCCCCAGAACUACCUGUGAUCACACUCUUCCUUUCUGAAGAGGGAAUCCUUCUGGGCAUAUAAGGAAAGUAAUUGUAGAGAUUUACUUGAAGCCAUACUAUAAUAUAGUGACUCCUAUUUUCAAUAUGUUGCACAACAGGCAGCUGUUGAACUUCUCCAUAUGGUCCAUUCUUUAAACUACUUAGGUUACAGAUUACACAAAUCAAAUAACUGAUAUCCUCUUUUCAUUUUUAGUGUUAACGGUUCAGAGCCCUGCAUCAUGACAGCGCAGUGCUGUUUGCAGGCAGACAAAUAUAGUCAUAAAGCUGAGUUAAUUGGAUAAUAGAACUAGUAUGUAUCUCUCAGUUCAAAAGCAUUUGUUCAUGGAAGCUGCUGGCACUCAGCCCCAAAUAGUCAAACCUCACAAGUUCUAGGGACUGAGGUGACUGGCUGGAGCCCUGUGCUCCUUUAUCCUUUAGCUUAUAAUCUAAAAUACAAAUAAACAUAGAUUCAACAAAAAUGUAAGCUCUAAAUAAUUCUUCAGUCAGCAAGAGAAUAUUCUGUGCUCAAAGCAGGUAAAAGCAGCAGCAAUUGUGUGAGCCAUUCUCUCCGGACAGAAUUACCUGCUUAGGACUGACAUGUUGCCAGCUAAGUUGUAACCUUUGUGUGUUUAGAUGUUGAUACAUGUUGAAACAGAAUUCAUCCUACAGCAUUUGUAACAUAACCCUCUGAAAAACAGUUGGUGCUCUCUGAGAAAGUUACUGUCUAAUUCUUAUUUGUCAUGUGUUUACUUCCCUUUAGUUUUCUCAAAAGCUGUCUAACCCAACCUUGGGUGAGUUCUCUGAAAACUUGAGUGCCUUUUCCCUUUAUUUUCUCAUAUUCUAUCUCGCUUACCAUUCUUACCUUACAAUUCAUUUCUCAGUAUUUGCAUAAAAUGUAGACAUUCAACUUCUAUGAUAAUCUUAAAUGGGGGGUUGCAUUUGUAUUUGUGUUCUUCAGACCACGAAUGCGAUGAUCACUCCCACUUGCUCAGCUUUGGUUCAUAUCAUGGUUCAUUCUGAGGGUACAGCUCAGCUCUUUGUGGAGAAAUGUCAUCCGCUGUGCACUGUGACCCCACUUUAAUGAACUCCAAACACUUAUGAGUGUUUGGUCCAUAGGAUCCAUGAGAGCUAGCAUUCUGCUGUGCCAGGUCUUUCAUUUUACAAAUAUGUUCCUAUCAGUCCAUGCUACUACACCUUGAUGCAUUAAAAAGGAUCCAUAGCUCUUUUUUUCCCAGUUUAGUUGAGAGUAUUGCAGAACCACGUCUCCUUGAAACUUCCUUGUUGUCUAAGUAGAAUUAGUCUUGGGAUGAGGGGCAGAAGUGACAGUGGUUGUGUUUACAUUGGGUGUCUCCAGCUCUCUCAGAAAUUGGAGAUGAUUUUGCAACAUUUUUAGCUAGUUUCUAUCCAAGGUCAUUUACCUUACUGUAGCUUACCAUAAUUAAUCAUAAUUUACCAAUUCUAAAUGGAUUUUUCUGUUAUCAUGAGAUGUUCUUUUUCACCUUUCCUUCUAAUUCUAGUGUUGACACUUUGCAUACCUACCGCUAUUGCAGAAUUCUUUACUUGGCUUUAAAUGACCUCAGUAGCUUUUCUAAUGAAUCUAAACUCACUCAAUUAAUUAAGUAGCUUAUCUAAUUAUUCUUCAAAAGUUCAUCUGUUCUGCAUCACAGCUGAUCUCGAAAACUUGGCGUGAAACUAUGCAUGACUUACUUUAGCAUGCUGUGUUCUUCAGAAAGUAUGGCAGGCAGGUUAGUGCCUGGGCACGUUUUUAAAGGCUGAAAAACUGAGGACUAUUAAGCCUUUAACCUCAAUUCAGGGAAAUCUCUGAGCCACAGUUUAUGAACAUGGCAAGAAUACAGUGGUACUCUCUCUCUGCUACCUCCAUUGGCUGCUGUUGGAGUUAGAAUGGGCUGAACUGACUUUCUGAUAGAUCCUUUAUGGCUGUAUUAAUGUGUUAUUAAAAAAAAGCUUGUAUCCGGUAAGUAAAGAAUCCUAGCAUACUAUAAGUAGUACCAUUUAUAAUAGUAUUGAAAGUAUAGCUGGUAGGUGGAAAGAAAGGGUUAACUUCCCUAAAUUAUGAAAUAGCAGACUACUGGAUCAGGGGCCCUGCUGGUUUGUUAGCUAUGAUGUGGCUUCAUCGGUUCUCUCUGACUUCAUUGAAUCUAAAUGUUUGUAGCGUAGUAAGCACAAAAGGCAUUUCUAAAAGAACUCCAGAUGAAUCAGGACUUACACAUGGGUCUUUUGGCUAAAAUCCUAGUCUUAGUUCUUAACACGUGGGCAUCCUUUUAAGUGUUUGCAUCGUUACACACUCACGCAUGGAGAUGUCUUCAUCUUUCAUUAAUUGGACACGAUUGUCUUUUGUGACCACACGUGGGACAACAGAAAUUUGAGCCUGUUCCUAGUUCUGGUAUCAAUAGCCUUGUAUUUUGCAUGACAUUUACUGGCAGUUCUGCAACUUGAUGAGAAUUGAAGGCCUGUCUUAAGGAGGCGUGUAAGCAGUGUUACAUAGCAGCAGUUCUGAUGUAUGCCUGCAUAAUAUUUCUGGGGAGAUGAGUGUCGUUAGCAAUGGGUGUUGACUUAAUCAUAGAAUCAUGAAAUGGCUUGGCUUGGAAGGGACCUCAAAAAUCAUUAAGUUCCAACCCCCUUGCCUCAGGCAGGGCUGCCAGACAGUGGAUCAUGUACCAGACCAGGCAGCCCAGGGCUCCAUCCAACCUGGUCUGGAGCAUCUCCAGGGAUGGGGCACCCACAGUCUCUCUGGGCAGCCUGUUCCAGCUCCUCACUGCUCUCAGUAAAAAACUUCUACCUGAUAUCCAAUCUAAAUUUUCCCUCUUUUAGUUUAAAACCAUUCCCCCUUGUCCUGUCACUAUCUACUCUUGUGCAAAGUUGAUUUCCCUCAUGUUUAUAAACUCCCUUUCAAUACUGGAAGGCUGCAUGGAGCUAGUUCGGAAUUGGGGAUUGUGUGCAUCCACAAAUGCUGCCACGUGCAAGCGGCCCUUGGGAGCUGGGGGACUUGCCAAGAAUUAGUGACUUAAUUACCUCAGCAGCUGCUAUGUGAAGAGGAAAUUAUUUUUCAAAUGACUUUCUUAGGACUGUGUUCUCAGACAUUUACAUGCAGCUGCACUCAGGGCGUGCAAGGUACGUGUAAAUAAUCCCAGUGCCACGCGGGGUGUCCUGACGUCCCAGUGAAUACGGGCCAUUGUUACGUUUUAGAAGGGCAUAAAAAAGGAGGUGGUUGGGCAGGCUUGGUAAAUAUUCGCUCAGUAACAGUUUGGGAAGGCCUUGAAUGUGGGUUCAGGCCUGGCUGUGCCGCCAGGCGGCGGGCAUGCAGCAGGCGGCGGGGAGUUUGCUGCUUCUGGAGCCGGGCUGUGCACACAGCUGCAGCUUCAUGGCCCGACCGAGAGCAGCACCAGGUAGCAGCUGUUUCAAGUGAAAAGAAUAAGAUUUUCAGGUAUCUGCCUGUGUAAAAUACACCAUCUCUCUUUUUUUUCUCCUUUAUUCCCUCAGCAUCAGCUAGAAAAAAAAAGCAAAAAGCAAGAAAGGCAUAAGCCUGCCUUUGAAAGUUCACAGAGCCCAAUUCUGUGGCUCUUCUCCAUGCUGAGCAACAUUGUAACGUACCUACAGAAUCGACCUGAAUUGAACAGAAUCCGUGCAAUUUCCAUUCAGUAUUUCCAAUUUUUUAAUGUGCACAGCCACGUAGAGCACAUCUGAUCCUUGACAGAAAUGCCUACACAAGGAUUAUUCUUUUAUGUAUAUGUAUCUUUAAUUCUCUUUAUAAGCUAGACGUGUUCACGUAAAGAGAACUUAAAGCAUGGGAUCUGUUUUCAUUUCUGAAGAACAUUUGCAUUCUGUCCUGGGGUGAGUUAUUCUGUGGCAUUUGCAUUCAGCAGGAGAUGCUUACAGUUGCUGCUGGAUUUCUUUCUGUUUGAAACUGGAGCCGGCCAGCGGAAUUACCACUGAGUCACUGCAAGCAGAGAUGGAAAAGCCCAAUUAGAUCAUCCAGCCCUUCUCCUUCCUGGUGUAAGAUUAUUGUGUACCAAAUACUUCAGUGCUUUUUCCAGUAUAGUUUUAAAUGUCCCCAGGGAUGUGCCUUGUGUGUCUUCCUUCAGGCAAAUAUUCCGUAACCUUCUGCUCUUCACUAUUAGAAAUCUUUUCCUGAGAUUGGACCUAAAUUUCUCCUUUCUUAAGUACAUUCCAUUUGCUGAAUAUUUAUUACCUUGAACCAUUCUAAGUAAUUCCAGUCACUCUUUGAUAUUGACAUCCCUAACAAGCUGUGUUCUUUGUCCCUUAAUCAGAACAGCUCUCCAUGUGUAGUCUGUCUGUGCAGCCUUCAGGCACCUCUACUUUAGCUUAUAGGCUAGUAAGGAUUUUUUUCUAUAUGCGUUGCACUUCUGCCUUAUGUUAGUUUUCUUCAGGGUGUCUUAUGACUGUGACUUUUUCAUAAUUAGUGAAAAACUGAAAUUUCAGUUUUUCUCUGGAAGAAAAUGAUAAAAGUGCUGUCAUUGGGCAACUACGGCUAUUAUUUUCUGAGGAUGCACAGAUAGAAAUAAAAGAUGAUCUUUAAUUACCAGGCCUGCCAGUUUAGCCAGCAACUGUCUGCUGCAUCAUACAUUCAGGUUUCAGGGUAAGUUACUGAUGGCUCACGAUACAAAAAGAGUGUAAAAGAAACUUUCCUACUCUGCUACGCCAAAUCUGUGAUGACUGUUUUACUUUGCGGAGAGCAAAAACUAGCAGAGGAAAAUAGUUAGCCAAGACCAAAUUCUCAGUGGCUGUAUGUUGAGCAGUUCUGUAGAGUUUGAAGGAAGCAAAAAAAUCAUUCUUUCAAGUGGAAAUCUUCAUCAUAAUCACCAUAGGGAUAAAUUUGCAGGAAAGGGGAGUAGAGAUACAAGAGAUGAGGGAGUUCUGAAGGCUGCUAAGUUCUUUCAAGAUUUUUAUCACUCCCAUCAGCCUUUACCAGCUUUUAAUUAUCAGGUUUUUGGUGGAAAGGGUAAGAGGCCCCAAGCCUACAAUUGCAUUUCCCUUUCAUGAAGGUUGAAUUUAGCAAUCAAAUUGCAUUUGUUGAAAUAAGAUACCUGUUAGUUUUCCAAAUUCUGACAACACCGUUGACAAUUGUUGCUAGACUGUCUGGAGAGACUUGCUGGUACAUGUGUAAAUCUUGAUAGAAAUUUACCUUUUGUUCCUUUGCUAAAAAUAAGAAACUCCCUAGUUUGUAUCAGAUAUGGAGGGGAAAAAAACAAAAACGCAAAAAGAUUUUACUGCUUUCAUGAAAGGUAGUGGACUCAAAUUGCGAUACAAGAAAUUCCAUUUAAAUGCUUUAUUUAAGAAGGCUUUUUCGUUGUGAAGCUGAACGUUGAAACAGGCAGCUCAGGAAAGUUUUGGAAUUUCCAUCAUAGAAUCAUUGAAUGGCCUGGGAUGGAAGGGACCCCAAGGAUCAUCAAGUUCCAACCCCUGCUACAGGCAGGGCCACCAACCUCCAGAUCUGUACUAGAGCAGGCUGCUCAGGGCCCAUCUGAACUGGACACCUGCAGGGAUGGAGCAUCCACCGCCUCUCCAGGCAGCCUGUUCCAGCACCUCACUGCUCUGUGAAGAACUUCCCCCUGACAUCCAAUCUAAACCUUCCCUCCUUGAGCUUAAUGAGGCAGUGCAAAACAAAGAGGCAGACAGUCCUGCUGUGUAUGUUUAUGCCUAGACAUCCUCUUCUGCUGCUUCACCAUUUGCUGACUUUUCAUGGACACAGUGCAAAAACUGCUGCCCAAGUGGCAUUGUCCAUGUGUGAGCUUUCCCCUUAGUACCCUGUGCCCUUCAUAAACUGCAUCAGCCUACAUGGCAGUAGGAAUUAGUCUCCUGUUCUGGGUACAGCACUUUGUUCUCCUGUUCUCUCUGGAUUAUGCUUCCUUGCCUGUACCUUUACAUACCUCAGGUGCUUAGGUUUGUAUUUUACUUCUUGUUGCUGUGGAAUGUACAUGUGCCUAUCCUUGUGCUCUGCUGUGCUGUGCAUUUCUCUUUGCUCUGUUCUUUUUCCCUCUCCCUGUUGCUUUAACUCAGAAUUGUACUUUUGCAGCCUAAGCUGGACUUCAGCUCUUUCAAAGCCCACUUGAUUGUUUUUCAUGCCUUUUUCAGUGAACUGUUUUCCUACAAUUCCCCCGCCCCCUUCCAGUCUGUUAGUGCUUUUCUUUUGUACUUUGUUAAAUGAGACCUGAGGGUCUUUGACCUAAGUUGUAUGGUACCUGUAGCUAAGUCGUGUUCUCCCUUCUCUCUGUCUCAGCUGUUGGGGUUUGACCUGUGCUUCUCUUGGCAUGGAACAAACAAGCAUCUCCACAUGUUGGAGACCGUUCUGCCCUCAGGGAAGGCACGUCAGUAGCUUUCACACUUCUUAGCCGAAAAGUGAAUUUAAGUAAGACCUCGGUUCAGUUUAUCUCUCGUAGAUUUUUAACUUUCGCCUCAUAUCCUGGGUGCAUAUUUGACACUAAUUUUCUGGUUUGACAGAAUUCCCUCUGGAGAAAGCCAUCCUUGCUUUUACUACUGCAGAGUCUGUAUGAGGGGAAUGUUUCAUGAGGUUUCUGGAAGACACAAGGCUGUCUUUAUUAUCAGCUUGUUGUCAUUCCCAAACUUCUUAAUCCUUUUGCUGCACGUUUCAAACACUGAAGCUUAGGUGCAGUGACACGGGUCCCCCAGAAAUGUACCAUGCACGUGUGAUAUGAGAAGAGUUCUGUCUCCCUGGCUGAAAAAUGACUGAUUUCCACUGCUUAAAGGUCCCACCAGUUUCUGACCCCGCACGUUUUAACGGGGUCUUGGACUGUAUCACAGCACUCAACAAAACAGCCGUCAUUACUUACAGUGGAGUUUGCACUGCUGGAGACUGAGCAGCACUAUUGGCUGCCCUUUAGUGCAUCUCUGUUCUGCUCCAGGCAGCCACCUGCUCUUCUACCGUGUGUUAAACCAGUGUGGAGAAUUGAGGUGCAUAUAUUAUAUUUGGUAAAUGAGUCCUUCCAGUCCGUGCUUUUUGCUUAGGGCCCUGACGUACAGUUCCAAGGUUCUGGCUGCCACUUUGAAAUCAUGUGAGCUGGAAUAUGUGUAAUAGAGAUAAGUAUUAGAAGGAGGAAAGUUGAUUUACUGAACUCUUUGAGAACAUUUUUCCCUUGUACACUCUCCAACAGCAAAGACAGUUUAAUGUUUACCACUCCUUUUUCUUUCCAUCUGCUCAUCUCUUCUCAUUCAUUCCCUCUUUGCCACAAUUUACAACCCUUUGCUUCCCUCUUUGGCCAGUGUUAAUUGGAUCAGCUGGAAUGACAUUAGAGAAAGGAAUCAAGAUAAACACACUUUUUUAACCUAAAAAACAGAGCAGGCAAGACAAACAGAGGAGGGCAAUUUCCUAAGCCUGUCUUAGUGCCAAAGCUAAUAUGCUAAGCUAUGGUUUGAGAAGCUGGGACGAUGCAGAGCUCUUAACACCACCCUGUUGUUGCAGUAAUAAGCAAAGAAAUAGCAAUGCGUGCGUUGUGUACGUAAUGUUGGAAAAGUACAAAAGUACAGCAUGAAAGCUGGAGUGUUUGAGACAUGCUUACACCCACGGUGAAAGCGCAAACAGGUAACCUGAUAGGAUUCCCAUACAGCUACAUAACUUUACCAUGGCACAAAAAAAACCAUCGUGUGUUUGGCAUGAUGAUUUCAUGUACUGUUCUGGCUUUGCUACUCUACCCUGGAGGAAAAGAAAAAUAUUCUUACCUCGUUUUUAUGUUUCCACAGUAUGAAAUCCAUUCUGAGAAUGUACUGUGCUCCUAAAUCACUUGGGCAUCACUUAUGCUGCUUUUCAUGUACUGCUGUUAAACACAGUGCCUGGAUGUGACUGAUCCAACGUGCUACCCAAAAGCCCUGAUCAUAUUGGAGAAGAGAAGGCUCCGGGGAGACCUCAUUGUGGCCUUGUAAGGGAGGCAUAUAAACAGGUGGGGAAUGGCUGCUUAUGAGGGUGCAUGGUGAUAGGACAAGGGGGAAUGGUUUUAAACUGAGACAGGGGAGGUUUAGGUUAGGUAUUAGGAGGAAGUUUUUCACACAGAGGGUGGUGACACUGGAACAGGUUGCCCAAGGAGGCUGUGGAUGCCCCAUCCCUGGAGGCAUUCAAGGCCAGGCUGGAUGUGGCUCUGGGCAGCCUGGUCUGGUGGCUGGUGACCCUGCACACAGCAGGGGGUUGAAACUGUAUGAUCAUCGUGUUCUUUUCAACCCAGGCCAUUCUUUGAUUCUAUGAUUCUGUAUAUGCUAUGGCUUUAGGGAGCCCUCUGUAUUCUGCUUUUGUAGAAUUUACUGGUUGUGAAUAGUGACACUUAUGAGGGCCUCCUCAAAGCUCAGCUCUGCAUCCUGUAGGAGGGAAUGGUGGGUGAUUUCAUGUGGUGCACAGUUCUUUCACUUAGCUCUCACUACCUGCCUAGCAAGUCUGAGGCUGCAGUUUUGGUUAUCAUUGAGAGGAAGGCUAUCAUUGUGCAAUCCCAACAUGGUGUAAGCAUUAGAAUGCAGGACUUGUUUGUCCCCAACUCUUUCAUAGAUUUUUCUGUUGUUUUGAGCAAAGUGUUCAAUGCAUCUGAUAUUGCUUUCUCUAGUUAUAAAUUAGGUUCUAGUCUAAUUUGGUAUUGAGAGUAUUCAUCUGUGUGCUGUGAUCUUGGUGCUGUGCAAGUGCAGAGCAUUCAUCUGGUGAUUGCACCGUUGUAUAUAUCCCAUGUCCAAGAGCCCCGAAGGCCUUUAGGCUUACUGGGUACUUUGAGGGCUGGCAGCAAGGAUUUCAGUCUUUAAAAAGAUAACUGCACUGCAGAUGAAACUCCCAAGAGCUACCAAGCAGCACAGGAAGAGCCUAAAAACGUGGGGUUGUUGGCUGUACGGGUCACACAGCCUCAUAGUGUGGCUCACAGCCCUGUCCCUGGGGAAGAAGCAGCAGUGCUGGCGGCCUCCAGCAGGUCAUGCCAAGGGAGCAGCAGGGGCCACAAGGAGGCUUUCUUCCCUCAAACACAUGGAUUUAGUGCAGGAGAGAAGAGGGAGGGAGGCUGAAGCGUGCUAUCUUUUUAGCAUCUGCGGCUGCAGGAAAGGGGGGAUCGCUGCUCCCUCUGCGCUUUUCUUGCACGAGUGUGGGAGCCUCCUUGGCGGUGUCCACACAGCUGGUUGUAAUUACGCGCUGCAGCUUCAGAGGAAGUUGCUGGCUGUGGGGAGCGUGCAGUGCUUGGCUGCAGACCCACUGCUUUUAUGGAUACAAUGGAGGUGGAGAGAGUAAAAGCAGUGGCACAGAGCGAAGGGGAGGGCGAGAGCCUAAUAAUCUUCUACUCGAGCCGGCUGCCUUGCUGGAUCAUUACCUACUUGUGAAAGUCCCUUGGUAGAUGUAUAACACAAAACUCUUUAAAACUAGCUGGAAAACUUUUUAUUUAUUAUUUCUUUUACUACUCUACAAAAAAAGAAAAAAAAAGUUUGGAGUGAUUUACUUCUCUUGGAAAAAAAAAAAAAGUUACGUUGAACUGACAUAUUGCAAUGACUAUUUUUGGCGUUACCAUUUAAAAUUAUAGCGUUAUAAAUAAAGCUGCUCAAAAUGCAGCUAUUCUGAUUCUUGCUGGGGUUCACGCAAGCGUUUUCGUUGGUUUCUAUCACUGGAUUUAGCCCUCCAUUCAACACUGAUUCUGCUUUGAAGGCAAAGGAUUCCUUGUUCUUAACUGCGAGUGAAGAAGUGUUUGCUGACUCCAGACCCUAAGGUAUGUGUUGUUCUAACAUUUCGUUGUCUCAGGAUGCAACUGUUUCAGGCUCACCAAAAGAAAUGCAAAAAUUUGUGUGAAGCUGGCUCUAGUCCUGGCUUUGCAACAAAACCCCAAGUGAGGCAAGUUUUGUCUGGCGUUGGGCUUUGUAACAAAAGCUUUGGUUAUAAAUCUCAGGAAAAGAACAUUUGUAAUGGAAGUGGCCAGUGAAUCCUAAAUAGCAACGGAACGUGUUGCUAUGAAAUGUGUGUACCUAGAGGGGAAAAAACAGAUCCCACUCCUGAUAGAAAAGCAGCGGCUUACUCAGAGCUAUUCUCAGAUGUCAGAGUCAGUCAUCAGCUCCCUGGCCUGUGGUUGCAUCCUUCUAAACUUUGCCCCUGCAGGCAGCCAUGAUUUAUGUCUUUAGCAGAUGAGGCAGCCAAAUGAAUAAAAGAGGAAAAAAUGUAAAGGUGGGCAAGACAAUUUGCUGUGCCAGAUCAUAUUUGAGGCUGCAUCUGAACUCAGACCAGUCAUCUUUUUUUUUCCUGUUUCCCAGAUGUAGACAUUUCUUGGGGCCACCCAUCUGAAAGCUCAUACUUCGUCAAGUGUCUGAUUAUUUCAGGUGCUGCAUCAUCACAUCAGCAGUUCUCAGUUUCUGCGACGAAUUCCUGCUGUUCUUCAUGCCUCAUACUUCGGGAGAGUGUUGUAUGUGGUGAGGCAGCUAUAUGGAGGUGACGAGGCAGGGCAGAGCUGCAGCACUGAGUGGCUCCCAGGAAUGUGUCCAUACGUUCUUUGCUGCUGUUUUGUGCAGUAAGCGGUGUGGAUUUUUCUGUACCGGUUUUCUGUGUUUGUGUUGUUUGGCUGUUGCAGAAAGAUCAGAUAAUUCAACAAGGCAGUAGAAAAUGCCAGUGGAAAAGAAUCUACAAAGAUUUACUUGUUCAUAUUUCUCCCAGCACAUCGCAGUGUAAGAUGCCUAGUAGAGACAAGAUAGAAGAGGGGAUUGGGUGCUUUGGUGGUCCCGAUAAUACCGAGACUAGCUGUAACUGGUGAAGAGCAGCCACAGCUUGCUGUGGAGAUAUUUUUAUGCAUUCAUCUGAUCAAAAGAGUAUGGGGUAUCUUCUUUUUUUCCAUAGCUUAUUAUCAGUUUUCAUGGAUGGUUUCCCCAAGCCCAAUUAUGAGGUUGAAGAAAACAGCAUUCAGAUUCUUUAAGGUUUCUUGCUAGUUUUUGAAGAGCUUAACAUUUUAACAUAAGUAAUGAUUACCAUAAAACGGCUGUUUUUUCUGCAGCCUGAAGUUCUGGUAGCUUGACUAAAAACAAGGACUGUUGUGUAGUUAUUACCUUGAGCUGGUGACUGUUCAGCUACAAAGCUAAGGAGUUGCUUGUGAGGAAUUACCUGUACCUAUGAAAAAAGGCUCUGCUACUCCAGUUUCAUCCUACAGACCCUCAUGGUUGCCUUAAACUGUUCUUUUUCAACAGCUGUAAGAAGUUAUGAUGCUAAAGGUAUUGUGAACAUUUCUUUAAAGAUUUGCACAACAAUCCAUCUCUUAAGAGUCCUGUAUUGUAUGAGCAUCUUUAAGUAUUCUACCAUCAAGCAAACACAUAAAACUAUGUAUCACGGUAUUUCUAGCUGACAGUUGUUGCAUGUCUUCCUGCUUUCACUACAUUUAGGGACCCUUACUGAGGCAAGUGGGGAGUUAGGAGUUGAGCUGAGUUGAAGGGGUCUGCGAUCAGGAGGUAGAUUGUGCCCCAGCAGUCUCUAGAUACUGUGAUGUCUUUUCCCCACUUUCUUUCACUCAUAAAUAUUUAGGAAUGAGUACACUCUGAUGCACAAUAUCUAGGAAGAUGUACUGCUGAUGGACUAAAGUCUAUUUGUUUACUUGGUUGAAACAUAUAUCUUAUAACUGCAUAUAAACACAAAAUAACUUUGGAGCUUUCAGCAGAACUACUCCAGAGGAGUAAUUCUCCAAAGCCUGUCGCAUCCCUGGACACUUCUGAAGGUUGUCCUAGAUCUUGUCUCCUAACCAGUCCAAGAACAUGCUGCCGUUCCUUCUGACCACGCAUUAGGUUUCUGUGGACAGAAGCCCGUGGAAGUAAGAGGCUGACCUCAGCAUGGAGUAAAGAUGCAGUCAAGACCCAGGAGCCCAAAAGUACUCAAACAUCUCCUAGUUUAUGUACAGGCCUGGUCCGCCGUGCAGAUGGCAGGCAAAGAAAAAUCUGUAGGUCGUAAAUCUGCACUUAACUGAAUAAAUAACCUGAUUGCUGGAGAUUUUACAACAAGCAAACAAAAAAAUCCCAACAACUGUAUCUAGACAUUAGAGAAGCAAGCACUAUUUCAUGGGAUGUGCAUUAGUAAGCAAGGUGCCUUUGAGUACUUGGCUUGGGCAUACAGUGUUACUGACUGUUUGACCCAGAGAUGUCACCUGUUUGGUGUGAUUUGUCACCAAGAAAUUGCGUCUAAUAACAUUUCCCAAACAAUAACAAUGCCCAUAGUACAUAUUUCUUAGCUGAUAUGUUGAAAGAAAUUAACACAAAAUUUGCAUUCUUGAGUUGUUGAAGUCAUUGAGUUAUUAAAGCACAGAGAAAUACCUGAAACUGAAACUAGAAAAGUGAGAUUUUUCCAUACUUAAAAAAAAGAAACCAAAAAAACUUUUCACGAACAGAACCUUUCAUACCAAAACACACUGCUACAGCUUUUAAAACUGUAAAAGGAAAGAAAAAAAAAGGGGAAAAGAAAGGGGAUUUUACUGUAACUGGAAGCAGUGGCAGAUUUUUAAGUGUAAGGACCAAGCAUGGAUGCUGACAGCAGUUUAUGAUGUCUGAGGAUGAGCUUUUGUUUAGGCAUAAAUAGGUGAGAUGCAGGAGAAAUCCUCUUAAUGGGAGGAGGAGUAAUGCUGGAGAAAUGGUCUGAAUUCAUUUCAUGCAAUACUUUUUUAAUAACAGUGUCUAUUAAAGACACCUGCUGAAAGUCUGUAAUGCUGGCUUAAUAGGGAGAAAAAAUAACAAAGUUCUUGAGCAAUCCUGUCUUCGGUUCAAUAUUAUGGACUGUUAAAAGAGGGUUUAUGUGUGCAACGUUAUUAACUGAGAUUCUGCUCAAAUUGAAGUCAGGUCCAUAAACCUUGCUUUCUAAAAGACCUUGCUAGGUUUCUAAAAGAAGAUUUUAAAACUAAACAAGAGAAUUAGAAUAUUCUUGCUUUAUUUAGGAUAUUUUAAAGGCAAUCAAUCUUGGUAGAUAUAUAUUUCCAAACGGUUGUACUCUCUCUUGUCACAUGUGGCUUCUUUCUAGAGAUGUUGAAGUGCAACAAAAAUGGACCAAUUUCCUGUACUAAGUCAUUACUAUUACUGGAGAGGAAAAGAAAAUCUACCUCCAAAGUGACCAAAGUACAACUUGUAAUAAUAAAGCACCCAAUAUUUUGUACUGGCUUUGUCAGGGCUAGAAGACAUGGGCUCAGUUAUGAGAGAGAUUGGGGCGAUGGGGACGCUGUCCUGGCAAAGAAAUUGAAGUCUGAGUUUAUAGUGAGCACAUUGUUGUCUAACUGUGUUUAAUAUUGUAAUUUGUUUAAACUUAAAUUAUAACGACGAAAAUAAAAUACUAAAGCACUGUGUUUUUAUCCCUUGAGUUUGGAGAGGCCUCAUCUUUUCCGUGCCUGUAGCCCUGAUGAUUCUUUUGGCAGCUCUGCUGGCGAUAAGGGGAAUAACUCACCUCUGUCAGAGAAGCUGGCUGUUUCAUCACUGACAUGAGAGCCCUGCGUAACUCCACGGUGAUGGCUGUCUAAAUGACUUAUGUAAUUUCUUCAUCUACUUUUUGAUUGAAGAGUGAUAACUCGGGCGAUGAGUUAUUUGGCAUCAGCCUCAGAGACAAUCUGUUUUCCUUAAAUAAAUCCUGAGGCACCUUUCAGCCACCCAGUUUUAAAGUAAGCCCGUAGUGAUUCGGGUCUGAUGUGCCUGGCAGAUUUAGCCGAAGGAUGAAGUUAGGAUUUGCUGUCCUUAUUUCGCUUUGUUUAUUGUUUGGUCUUUAAAUGAGAGUUGUAGAUGUAGUACUGAGGAAAAUGAGAAUUGGGCUGAAAGGCAGUUUUUAUGUUACAGCACAGGGGUAUGGCAGGGCAUUUUGUCCCUGGUAGCAGAGGCACUAUUUUGCUCGAAAGCACACACGGUUGUCCAAGAACCAGAGAGGAAAAUGCACACUAACGCCAGCCUGGAUCCAUAGCCUGGGAUGUGGGGGACGUAUUUAAGAGAAGGGAAAAGAAUAAUUAAUUUUUCUUCUACAACUGAAUACGUAUCCUAGUACAGAGUAUCUGUGUCUGAGAUGAGAAUGUAUAGUGCCAUUACACAAGGCAGGGACUUACUGUGUGUUACAUUUAGUAUGCAAUGGGUUGAUAUACGCUGCGAGCCUGGCAGGAUUUCAGGCAAGGUUUUGCCACUGAUUUGUUGGGAACAGAAAUGGUUUUCUUGCUGAAAUCACAAAGAUGGGAGCCUUGGGUAGAGUGUUAUUUGCAGGGUUCCUAACGUAGCUGUGGAAUGCUAAAUAUAACCUGAAGAGCUGCAGAUGUGGCGGGUGUUUCAGGCUUCAUCUUGGUUAAUAUCUGCUGUGCACGUGCUUUUUUAACAGCAAGACAAUUCAAUCUUACAAAAAGGGUUGAAGUUAAUGUUUAUGUUAAACUAAUCAACUUCCCAUGUUUCUCUUUUUCUACUCUUAAGCUCUUUAGUUUAGAAAGAGCAGUCGGUGACAGGUAUAAGCAAGUUUUACAGUGCUUAUGUUACAUGCACAGGGCUCCAGUUAGGAUCUACAUCCCUUUGUAGCGGGUGUUAUGCACAAGUACAUGGGCAUGUUUUCUUGAAAGUGUGCACAAUACAGAAAGCAUCUUCAUCAGGCUUGUGUCUUCAUUUGGGCCACAAAAGCAAAGAUAAUCUCUUUUUAGUUCUGUUCACACUUUGAAGUGAUGGUGCAUCAUUGUAUGGUUACCUUCAAAUAGCUCUAACUAUGCAAAGGUUAGUAUUUGCCACAGGAAAAAAGGAAUUGAAUGAUAAUAGAUUUCAUAUUGGAGGCUCAGCCUUGGAUCUGAGAGCAGUCACCCAAAACAAGGGCGAAGAGAAUUUGGACAAAGUGUUGUCAUUCUUUCUUUUCUCUCACUUUAUACUUAUUCUUUCCUGUUUUUUCCAUUAUGUGUGCAUGAAUGGAUUUUUAUUGAUAUUUUCCUUACAGUCUAGGAGGCAUUCCUUCAUGGAAAAGAGGGAAGCAUGACCUUCCUUACUGUCCAGAAACAGGCUGUUAGCUUUUUAAUUCUGUGCAGCACAGCAGAAUUUGUGGCAACAGGUGAAGCAGGACUGCAGCUUCACCCUUCCCCACAUGCAGGACAUAAUUGAGAUGGAAAGCAGCCUGCUGUACCCACAUGAGCAGCACAGGGAGUACCUCCUGUGGCUGGGGAGACACCAUGCGUUCUGAGAAGUAGAGUUCUAGAAGUAGAGGUCCAUAAGUGUGCAGAAGUCUCAUUCAUAGUACAGUGUCACUGAGUGCUCAUUUGCAUUGUGCUUGAGCAGAUUCUGCCUUCUGAUCCACUUUGGAUUCUGCCCAUGUGGGAUUUGCACAAAGGUUCGAACUUUCAGAUCUGAAUUUGCUUUCCGAGGUUCUGACAGUGAAGUUUAUCGAUGUUCGAUAAUUCGACCUGACAAAAACUCGCUUUAAUUUUUUAAUUCGUAUUUAUUCUUUCUCCGCAGCAAAAUCUGCCAGUCAGGGCAAAUUACACGAGUGAUUCUGUGGAGGCUGAAGCGGGAUCGCUGAACUCAUUGUCACGCGUGGCUAAACAGAGAACUGAGCCUUGUGAAAGAAGGUGUCAAAUGGGAUGUCAAUCAUGAAGAAAGGCUCCAGGGGCAUCCAGCAAAAUAAAAUUAGACAUCUGUUCUGGGUGAACAACUAGAUAUUGUAAU